AUAUUUUCUAUAUUUAUGCAUUUAAAUUUAUUAUUAUCUAGAUAAUUUAACCAAUUUUAAAAUGUAUUGAAUGUAAUUAGUUAAUACAUACUAACAUGGUUUAAAUAAUCAGAGCCCUAAAACAAACAAGAAUCUGUUAUGUAAAAUGUAUGUGAUUGUUUUUCAUAAAAGUUGAAGUGAAAUGGAAACGAUGUCCUGCCAGUAGGUGGCGGUAAUGCCCCUUUAAGUUUGUUACCAACUGCUGUAAAACUCGAAGAAGAAGAAAACUAUUAUGGGCUGGACUGGCGGUUGAAUGUAGCUACAACUUACGUCCAUGUGAGAAGGUACCUAGUAAUUUUCUACUUCUCCUAUCCUGUUUCUCACCUCCAUGUUGCAACAUAGAUUUAGUGCUGCAAAUUGUGUGACAGUUCAUUACCUACUAGGUGUGAGUCAGGUAUGGACAGUCAGACAGACAACCUGUUUAUGGUGAUUAAUGCCAAAUGUGAAGCUGCAGGAGGAAAGAUCACCGCCAUAAUGGCCCAGAUGGAUGGUAAUGAAGACAUCAAUGUGAAGUGUUAUUGUGUUCUGAGCUGUCUGAGUAUCUACCUCAGUAAAGACCUGGAUACAUUGGUUAAAGAAUACAUGGCAGCUGAGGAUCUGAGGCAGUCCAUAAAGCUGAAGCCAUAUGUCAAAAGGUGAGCUGUAAAUGGGGAGAGAGAAGAUUAGGAUAGAGAAUGGUUGGUCCUUUCUCUUCCCCAUCAUCCUCCCUCCAACUCAACCAUGAGUGAAGGUUUGGAGAGGGUUGGAUAGGAGAGGAGUAAACCUUAACCUUAUCCAGGAGCUUAUGAGAGAGGAGGUCAAAGGCUUCAUUGGGAAAAGAGCAGUCUCUGCAGUCGCACCAGAAAUCCCUGUAUUAAAGUGAGGAGAUCGACCUCAGUGGGGGAUCAACCCAUAAACAUAUGAGAGUUAGUCUACUACUGUAAAGGAUAAUGGACAUUGAAUCCAGAGAGGCUGAGGCUGGCAUUGCAGAGAAGACUAUGGGAAUCUACACUGUCUGAGCAGAGGGACAUUGUUCUGAUUGUCCAGGUGAUGGAUGCUUUGCAGAUGUUGGUGUUGUGCUGGAAGGCGUGGACGUUCUCCGUUCUCUCUGCUUUAUGGGCAGAUUUAUGCACCCAAUUUGAGCUAUCCAAAAAGCCUGAAGCGUACAUUUGAGGUGUUCCAGAAAACCCUGAUGGACCUGGACUCAACUAAGCUUACACCAAAAGUACAUGCACUGAAACUCAAAUUGCUCCAGUGAUUCGGUUGGCAACUACCACCUCACCCGCACACAGUAAGACUGUAUAUUGUUGAAAUGGUCCCUUGGUUCUUGAAGGUUACGCCAGGGAAAUAGCUGUUUGAUAAAUUUGUACAUUGGUUGUCGAAGCAUUAAAAUUUUGUUGAAAGAUCAGUUAUGUAGAUAUGAAAUAAACUGUUCAUUGAUUCAGGGAAAAUUGGAGGAAAGGAGGCAAACCUCUCCCUCUCUUCUACCCUCUGCUUUCUCUACUCACCUCCUCUUUCCUAAGCUCCUGUAGGGGUAAGGUUUACUCCUCUCCUAUCCAACCCUCUCCAAACCUUCUCAUUGGGGAUGUGUAUUUUCUAAAAUGUUAGCUGGCAUUGUUGUAGUGGCUCAGCUCAAACCAGAUUUUUAAAGUUAAAAGAGAAUUCAGGUGUGAAAUUGACUUUGGCUGUAGUAAACAUGAUAGAAUGCUAACCUUUGGUGAAUAUCCCACCUCUGUUCUCCCUCAGCGAUCCGAGAUCCAGCAAUUUGGUUCUAUUUCCAAACAGGCUUUAGAAUGGGUGAUACAGCGCAUAUUUUUCCCCUUGCAGAUAAAUCACUUUUUACACCAUUAUCCAGCUCAAAGUAGCUCCACAACUCAAUGCUAGAAUCCGCAGAGCCCUGAAAUCUAAAACAAGGCAUCCCACAGAGUCCAGGCACCGCCAUCUUAAAAUAAAGUCAUGGCAGGUCGAGUGCUGAGCAUGAACAAUAAUUUUUUAGUGUGUGUGUUCUUCCAUCUCAUAUCACCAGUAACCAGAUAUUUUCAGCAAUAGCUGGAAUGCAUGCAUUUCCACUGAAUUAAUUAAAAAAACGGCUCCUCUAUACUACUAAUUCAAUUGUGCUCAGCAUUCAACUUGCAAUGACUUAACUUUAAGAUGGCUGCGCCUGGAGAUUUAUCUUACACUACGGAUUGGAAACAGAUUUAUUUUUUUAAAAUAAAUUUUUAAAGUUCUUAAUGCCUUGCUUUAGAUGUCAGGGUUCUCCGGAUUCUACCAAUGGGUUGUGGAGCUACUUUGAGCUGAAUAACCAUGUAAAAAGGGGUUAAGUAUGUUUGGACAAACAAACACAAUUGCUUUAUCUUCUGGUUGUGGGAGAAUGGAGGUGGGAUAUUCAUCAAAGGUUAGUAUUCUUUAUCAUGUUUUACUAUAGCCAAAGUCAAUUUUACACUCGAGUUCUCUAAGUGUUUAAAUUAUAUUUGUUCUAAAAAAGUACUUUAGUUCCUACCAAAGUCUGUUGUCACUCAAGUAGCCUUUUUUUUCUUGUAUUUUUGAAAUAAAAUUUUGCCAAACUAGGGUCUUGUGAAUGUACAAACGCCAAACUUUCAUUUAACUACAUAAGUAUGAUUGAAAUGUGAUUUUAAGAAAUGGUAAUUUCGUGUCUCUUUUUUAUGCUACGCUUUAAUAUUAAUAAAGCUUUGAUUAAACAACAA